CAACUUCUCCUUUUGGUCGGAGCAGGCCGAGCACAAGUGCGUGGUGGGGUACGGAGGGAGAACGUACAGUGGCUUCUGGUCCCUGUGCGCCGCAGUCAACCGAGCCCUGGACGAAGGGAUACCAGUAACCAGUGCCUCGUACUAUGCGACAGUGACCCUGGAGCAGGUUCGGCAUAUACUUCGUUCUGACACAGACGUUUCCAUGCCUUUGAUAGAAGAGAGGCAUCGGAUUCUCAAUGAAACUGGGAAAAUCCUGCUGGAGAAGUUUGGAGGCUCUUUUCUUAAUUGCGUUCGAAAAAGUGAAAAUAGCGCACAGAAGUUACUGCAGCUGGUGGUUGAAAGUUUUCCUUCUUACAGAGAUGUGACCCAGUUUGAGGGGAAAAGAGUUUCUUUUUACAAACGAGCCCAAAUCCUUGUAGCAGAUACGUGGAGUGUACUAGAAGGAAAAGGAGAUGGCUGCUUUAAGGACAUCUCCAGUAUCACCAUGUUUGCUGACUAUAGACUACCUCAAGUUCUUGCUCACCUUGGAGCCCUGAAAUACUCUGAUCAGCUACUGAACAAGCUUCUCAAAGGAGAAAUGCUCUCAUAUGGGGAUAAGCAAGAGGUGGAAAUCAGGGGGUGCUCACUUUGGUGUGUGGAGCUGAUCCGGGAUUGUCUUCUGGAGCUUGUUGAAAAACAGGGCGGAAAACCUAAUGGAGAAAUCAAUUCCGUUCUUCUGGAUUACUACCUAUGGGACUAUGCCCGCGACCAUAGGGAUGAUAUGAAAGGGAUUCCAUUUCAUCGCACACGGUGCAUAUAUUAUUAACCCCAUAUGUACUCUGAUCCAAAGAGUACCCCUGCAUU